rnacentral:lncRNA from 1 species
UGCAGGACUCACCUGCCGCUGCCGCUUCUCCGGUAUCAUCUCACCUUCCUGGAGCAAAGGUCAGACUUCCCUGGCUCUACGGCUCCAACGUCACUUCUGUUUAAACCGGAGAGAGAUGCACUAGGCAGGGCAUUCCUGAGGCUGCAGCUAGAGGGGGCGGGAGGCGUCGGCGGAGCCGGGCUGGGGAGCCCCGCGGGAAUCUGCGGAGCCAGGUCAGGCGCAGGGGGCGCCCGGUCUCGGCCAGGUCGGUGCCGGAGCCUGAGCUGCCGUCCAGGCUGCGCCCAGGAAAGCAGGGCAGGAAGGCCGAGGCGCGGCCGGGGGUUGGGAGGAAAGGCCGCAGGCUGUGUGUCCUCCUCCCCAUCGCGCCGGGCCGGGCCUGGGCGGGGUGUCUGGGGCGCGCACCCGGAUUCUGCGGAGGACGCCCCCGGAGGCCGCGGGCACCCAGCGCUCUCCCGGGGUCUCCCCAGGGCUCGUCAGGACAGGAGCGCGAGGCCGACCUGCGAGCCCGGAAGCCCCGUGGCCUGCCGCGAUUGGGCCAGGCGGGGUCACGUGGCGCCGUCCCACCCAAUCAGAGGGACGGUCCGGUGUGCCCUUCCCCCCGGAGGCCGUGAUUGGCUCAGGCCCUGCCGCGGGGCGCGGGGCGCGGGGCGCGGGGCGCGGGGCCGGCCCGGUCUGACGAGGGAGCGUCGCGCUCCGGGGCCUGCGAGGAGCCGCGGUCAGGUCAGGGGACGGGAGGACGCGCAGCUGCUGUCUCGUCGCCGCGCAGGGGUGAGGCGACAGACACCGGCGGCGGCUGUUUGGGGAGCCGCGCCCGCGAGGUCAGAGACUGGAGAGGGACGUCCUGAGGCCAUCGCUGGGCCCUGGAUCCAGCCGCGCCUGAGUGCGCCGGGCAGGAGCGCCUCGUGGUGGGGCCUGUCCCUUGGAGCCCGAGGACCCGCCGCACCGUGGGUGGGACAGUCGGGGUCGUGCUCCUUCCAGCCGGGGCCAGAGCUCCCCCUGCGGGGCCUCAGCGUUCUGGUCCGUGGGGACCGAGGGGCGCCGCCCGCGACCUCCCGCCCUCUGCGGCCGCCUCGGCCUCUGCUGCCUCUACGGGCUCCCGGAUCCCGCGGGCGCCGCCCCCGCAGCCUCCAGUCUCCCGGCCUCUGUGACCGCCCUGCCCUCCGCAGCCCCCGGCCCGUCUAG